AGUGAACGCUGGCGGUAGGCCUAACACAUGCAAGUCGAACGGCAGCACAGGAGAGCUUGCUCUCUGGGUGGCGAGUGGCGGACGGGUGAGGAAUACAUCGGAAUCUACUUUUUCGUGGGGGAUAACGUAGGGAAACUUACGCUAAUACCGCAUACGACCUACGGGUGAAAGCAGGGGACCUUCGGGCCUUGCGCGAUUGAAUGAGCCGAUGUCGGAUUAGCUAGUGUGCGGGGUAAAGGCCCACCAAGGCGACGAUCUGUAGCUGGUCUGGGAGGAUGAUCGGCCAACUGGGAACUGAGAAACGGCCCAGACUCCUACGGGAGGCAGAAGUGGGGAAUAUUGGACAAUGGGCGAAAGCCUGAUCCAGCCAUACCGCGUGGGUGAAGAAGGCCUUCGGGUUGUAAAGCCCUUUUGUUGGGAAAGAAAUCCAGCUGGCUAAUACCCGGUUGGGAUGACGGUACCCAAAGAAUAAGCACCGGCUAACUUCGUGCCAGCAGCCGCCGUAA
rnacentral:rRNA from 1 species